GGGCUUGACAUCCCACGAACCUGCCCGAAAAGGUGGGGUGCCCGCAAGGGAGCGUGGAGACAGGUGGUGCAUGGCUGUCGUCAGCUCGUGUCGUGAGAUGUUGGGUUAAGUCCCGCAACGAGCGCAACCCUCACCCCUAGUUGCCACCGGGUUAAGCCGAGCACUCAAGGGGAACUGCCAGCGUCAAGCUGGAGGAAGGCGGGGAUGACGUCAAGUCAUCAUGCCCCUUACGCCCUGGGCUACACACGUGCUACAAUGGCCAGUACAAAGGGACGCGAGACUGCGGAGUGGAGCUAAUCCCAAAAAGCUGGUCUAAGUUCAGAUUGCAGUCUGCAACUCGACUGCAUGAAGGAGGAAUCGCUAGUAAUCGCGUAUCAGCCCGGCGCGGUGAAUACGUUCCCGGGCCUUGUACACACCGCCCGUCACACCACGAAAGCUGUCUGUACUCGAAGUCGCUGAG
rnacentral:rRNA from 1 species